AGAAGUAUUCCGGGAGCAUGUCAUUGCGCGGGAAGGUGCCAGGAAGCUUCCCAACAAAAAUUCUCUCUCCAUCUCUCUCUCUCUCUACCCUCACACACUCCUUGUGAAGUGUCAAUAAAUUCCUAAAACCUUCCGAUUUGCUCCUUUUCGCCGCCACCACCGUUCGAUCUCCGCCAAUCACGGUAACAUAACCUAAUCAUUCUAUUUUUUAUUAUUAUUCAUAUAGCGUAUUAUCGUUGUAUUUUUCCUAUUUCUAAUCAAAAAACCCCUAGCAGUAACUUCCUCCGUAACUAACGCCUCCGACAUUGCCGCGCAAACCACCCAAUCGUCCCACCAUUCUCUCGCCUCUCCUCUCUUUCUCUUAUGUUUCUGUUUUAUUUUUUAUUUGUAAAUGACUCUACUGUACUUGUGUGUUGGGUUGUUGCUUGGCGUUUACUUUUUGGAGCUGGUGGCCUCUCUUCUUCCCGCCGUGACAGCCACCGGGAUUUUUAAGUGCCAUCUCUCCAUGCUGCGACAUUAGAAUUACAAAUUCUUUAUAUUUCUUUUAAUUAUUUUACGUAACAAAAUAUAAAAUAGAAGAAGAGAGCUGAAGAGGAUAAAGGAGAAGGAACAGGAGGAAUCAUGAGUAGCAGUUGUUCGUCUAAUGGACUGUUGCCUUCUUCAGCAUCCCCCAGGGAACAGGAUGACUUGGAGGCGAGACCUACUAAGGAGUUUGAACAUGAUGAUCAUGAUUUGAUUGAUGAAUCUGAUCCUUUUGAUAUUGCUCAGACCAAGAACGCUCCUAUCGAGAUUCUUCGCCAAUGGAGGCAAGCAGCGUUUGUGUUGAAUGCUUGCCGGCGUUUUCGGUACACCUUGGACUUGAAAAGAGAAGACGAGAAAGAGAAAAGAAGAAGGAUGAUCAGAUCCCAUGCACAAGUCGUAAGGGCGGCAUUACUCUUUCGGUUGGCAGGGGAACAGCAAAUUGUGCUGGGUCCCUCAGCUACACCUCCAACUGCUACUGGUGAUUAUGCAAUUGGACUGGAGCAGCUUGCUUCAAUGACCAGGGAUCAUAAUUUUUCUUCUCUGCAACAAUAUGGCGGUGCCAAAGGGUUGUCAAAUAUGCUGAAAACCAAUCUUGUGACUGGUAUUACUGGAGAUGAGAAUGAUUUGAUAAAGCGUAGGAAUGCAUUUGGAACAAAUAGAUAUCCGCAGAAAAAAGGACGCAGUUUUUUGAGAUUCCUGUGGGAAGCUUGGCAAGAUUUAACCCUCAUCAUUUUGAUUGUAGCUGCCAUUGCAUCAUUGGGACUGGGAAUCAAGACAGAGGGUUUGUCACGUGGAUGGUAUGAUGGGGCGAGCAUCUCUUUUGCUGUUAUUCUUGUCAUAAUUGUUACAGCUGUUAGCGAUUACCGUCAAUCUCUGCAGUUUCAAAAUUUAAAUCAGGAAAAGCAAAACAUACAGUUAGAGGUUAUGAGGGGUGGAAGAACGAUGAAAAUGUCAAUAUUUGAUAUUGUUGUUGGUGAUGUUGUACCUCUUAAAAUAGGUGAUCAGGUUCCAGCUGAUGGACUCUUGAUUACCGGCCAUUCUCUUGCCAUAGAUGAAUCUAGCAUGACUGGUGAAAGCAAGAUUGUUCACAAGAAUCAGAAGGCUCCCUUUUUGAUGUCUGGUUGUAAAGUAGCAGAUGGUUUCGGCACUAUGCUGGUAACUGGUGUUGGGAUCAAUACUGAAUGGGGGUUGUUGAUGGCAAGCGUCUCAGAGGAUACUGGUGAAGAGACUCCCUUGCAGGUACGAUUGAAUGGACUUGCAACUUUUAUUGGCAUUGUUGGGCUUGCUGUAGCUCUUUCUGUGCUUGCUGUCCUUUUGGGCCGAUACUUUACUGGAAAUACAAAAAAUCCAGAUGGAACUGUCCAGUUUAUCAAAGGAGAGACAAAGGUCAGCAAAGCAAUAGACGGAGUGAUAAAGAUCCUUACCGUUGCAGUUACAAUUGUGGUUGUUGCUGUUCCCGAGGGACUUCCAUUGGCUGUUACCUUGACUCUGGCAUAUUCAAUGCGGAAAAUGAUGGCAGAUAAAGCCUUGGUUCGUAGGCUUUCAGCAUGUGAAACUAUGGGCUCUUCAACAACAAUUUGCAGUGACAAGACUGGAACAUUGACAUUAAAUCAGAUGACUGUAGUUGAGGCUUACAUUGGGAAACAGAAGAUAAACCCUCCAGAUAACCCCUUAAAAUUGCACUCAGAAGUUAGCUCUUUGUUGUGUGAGGGUAUUGCACAGAACACCACCGGCAAUGUGUUUGUUCCCAAGGAUGGUGGAGAUGUAGAGAUUUCUGGAUCUCCAACUGAAAAAGCUAUUCUCUCUUGGGCAGUCAAGUUGGGGAUGAAGUUUGAUGCUCUUAGAUCAGAGUCCAAAAUCCUGCAUGUUUUCCCUUUCAAUUCUGAGAAAAAGCAAGGUGGUGUUGCUGUACAAACGACUGAUUCUAAAGUUCACAUACAUUGGAAAGGAGCAGCUGAGAUGGUUCUUGCCUCUUGUACCAGAUAUCUUGAUUCAAAUGGUUCACUGCAAUCCAUUGAUAAAGAUAUGGAUUUUUUCAAGGCCUCUAUUGAUGACAUGGCUGCCUGCAGCUUGCGCUGUGUUGCUAUUGCAUAUAGACCAUAUGAUUUGGACAAAGUUCCUACUGAUGUAGAGAGCUUGGAUAGAUGGGUUUUGCCUGAAGAUGAACUUGUUUUGCUUGCUAUUGUCGGCAUUAAGGAUCCUUGCCGCCCAGGUGUAAAAGAUGCAGUUAGAGUAUGCACAGCAGCUGGUGUAAAGGUACGAAUGGUUACUGGAGACAAUAUCCAGACAGCAAAAGCAAUAGCUUUGGAGUGUGGGAUUCUCAGUUCUGGUGCUGAUGCUACAGAGCCUAAUAUCAUUGAAGGAAAAGUAUUCCGUGCAUAUUCAGAAAAAGAAAGAGAAAUAAUUGCCAAGAAAAUAACGGUGAUGGGGAGGUCAUCUCCCAAUGACAAGCUUUUACUUGUGCAAGCCCUUCGUAAGGGAGGGGAAGUUGUAGCUGUGACCGGAGAUGGCACAAAUGAUGCUCCCGCACUUCAUGAGGCUGAUAUAGGCCUUUCUAUGGGCAUUCAAGGGACUGAAGUUGCAAAAGAGAGCUCGGAUAUUGUUAUCUUGGAUGAUAAUUUUUCUUCAGUUGUAAAGGUUGUUCGUUGGGGGCGUUCUGUGUAUGCCAACAUUCAGAAAUUUAUCCAAUUCCAGCUUACUGUUAAUGUUGGAGCUUUAGUGAUCAAUGUUGUUGCUGCGGUCUCUUCUGGUGAUGUUCCUCUAAAUACAGUGCAGCUUCUAUGGGUCAAUCUUAUCAUGGACACUCUCGGGGCACUUGCAUUGGCUACAGAACCACCAACAGAUCACCUUAUGCAUAGGACACCAGUUGGUCGAAGGGAACCUCUCAUAACAAACAUCAUGUGGAGGAACUUGCUCGUACAGGCUCUAUAUCAAGUUGCUGUUCUCCUUGUGCUCAACUUCCGGGGCUUGAGUAUUCUCAAUUUGAAUCAGGACGACAGGAAACAUGCUACAAUUGUGAAGAAUACAAUGAUAUUCAAUGCAUUUGUUCUCUGUCAAGUUUUCAAUGAGUUCAAUGCUCGAAAGCCAGAUCAAAUAAAUGUCUUUAAAGGAGUAACAAAAAACCGCUUGUUUAUGGGAAUAGUUGGAUUCACCGUCAUCCUUCAGAUAAUCCUCAUUGAAUUCACUGGAGACUUUACCACAACUGUGAGACUCAAUUGGAAACAAUGGCUUAUAUGCGUUGCCAUUGGCAUUGUCAGCUGGCCUCUUGCUGCGGUUGGAAAACUCCUUCCAGUACCAAAGACUCCACUAUCCAAGCACUUUAGAAAGCCAUUUCGACGAUCAAGAACUGCUCGGAAUGCAUAGAUGUCUUAAUGAAGGCAUGCAUUAAACUGAUAACCUGACACAGGGCACUGAUGCUUCUUGUUCACAACUGAAUGUGUAUCUCUAACCUCACCAUCAAUAUGCCCUGGAAAGGAAUAUCGGGCAAAGUUAAGCCUAGAUGGAACACCAUGAUCGACAGACCUCGGCGCUUUCCUUUCUCAUUGAUGCUGAGAUAUGACUCCAACACAUCCAUAAACUGGGUCUCUUGCACGCGAUGCUGCCUCAAUUGACAUGCACUCUGCUGCAUCAUAACGUAAAUGCACCGGAAGUUGCUGCAUUCCACACCAAUCCAAGAUUACAAGAGAGUGAGCACACCAUAUCGCAAUCAAUAUUAUUUAUUAAUCGUCACUAAAGAUUUAAAAUACAAAUAGCGCUAUGAAUCAUAAAAUACUCAUCACCAAUGAGUUUCCUAGAUAAUAUUAGAUUAUUAGAUUGUUUGAUGUCACGUCAGAUGCGCUAGUUAAGCAUGGUUGAAAGUUUUAGAAUGAAUAGCGUUUUUAACUAAAAGAAAUGGUGAAUGGAUGCUUCGUUGUGACGGAAAAGAAAUUUAACUAAGAUAUACUCUUGGUUGAUGAAAUUAUUUGAGUGUUGGCAUGGUUGGAUUGAUCAUGAAUGAGUUGAUGAGUGGAGAUUUGUAUAUAAAUACCUUUAGCAAUUCAGUAAUCUUGCUGGCACCAAAGACUUUAUGGACAUUAGCAAAUCUCUGGGGAUUGGUUGGAGGAAAAUAUGGAGCCAAGACACAAUCUUGACGGCAUCUUCUUCUCAAAAAUCUGCAAGCUGCACAUCUUGUUGAAUUGGACAUUGUUGGAUUCUGUAAGAUCUGUUAGAAUAUUUUGUUUCAGAAAAAAGGGUCUGAAUCUUUUUGAAUGAUUCUUGCAAAGAUUUUGUUUGUAAUGCCUGUAUAUAGUGGGUUUUGUUGAUGGCUUAGAGUUCUAGGCUAGGAAAGAGCUCAACGGCUACUACCUUUUCCAAAAUACUGUGAAAAAAUAAGGAAACUUUGUUAAUCAUGAGCAGAAUUCCUUAAAUCAGUUUUUCAUUAUCUUCAUUUGAUAGCUUCCUUUACUGGUUCAGCUGUUCGAUUUUGCUGCUAGCUAAACAAAAUUUCUUAGAUUAAUUCAUAGUAUUAAUUUUGGUACUGACCCUUGAUUAGGUCAAUCAUUUUUUUGGUAAACCUCAGACCAAUUAGCAAUUAGCCCCCACAAAUGUAGAUUGUUGGCGGCUGCCUUCUUGUCCCUACGAAAGCCCAGAUUAGAAAAGGGUAGUAGAUAUGAUCCAAAAAUGUUCAUCAACCAAAGAAAAAAGAAAAAAGAAAUAAACAAAAUUUCUUAGAUUAAUUCAUAGUAUUAAUUUUGGUACUGACCCUUGAUUAGGUCAAUCAUUUUUUUGGUAAACCUCAGACCAAUUAGCAAUUAGCCCCCACAAAUGUAGAUUGUUGGCGGCUGCCUUCUUGUCCCUACGAAAGCCCAGAUUAGAAAAGGGUAGUAGAUAUGAUCCAAAAAUGUUCAUCAACCAAAGAAAAAAGAAAAAAGAAAUCCAUAAAUGUUCAUGUUCUCCGAUUCUGAAGCCUUCAAUGGGAUUUUUCCAGCUUUGCAUAUGGAACAAAAUCAAUGGAGUAAACCUGGCCUGUCUUUCUUUCAUCUUCCAACUUAUGUUACACAAACCUAAGCUUACAGUCCAAGCCUAGAACAUCAUUCAAACAAUUACAAAACCACCUCAUAAAAUGCAAACUGAUUUUACAAUAAACAACUUAUACUUCAAAGUUUUACAAAACAUCAAACAAAUUCUUGAACAUAACUCACAAAACUACCUGUCCUAUUUAUAUAGAACCAUCUUUAAAAAAUCAUAUGAAAA